UUUUACAGUGUGUUCAGGGGACAGACAGCUAGCAGAUAGUGAGGAGAUGUUUUUUACAGUGUGUUCAUGGGACAGGCAGCUAGCAGAUAGUGAGGAGAUGUUUUUUACAGUGUGUUCAGGGGACAGGCAGCUUGCAGAUAGUGAGGAGAUGUUUUUUUGUUUUUUUACAGUGUGUUCAGGGGACAGGCAUCUAGCAGAUAGUGAGGAGAUGUUUGCUGUAUG